GUUUAUGCGUCUCUGCAUCUGAACUGAGAAUCCCACUAACGGCUUAUUUGUCAUUGCUUGGAGUCCCAGGGAGAUUGAAUUACUAGAAUGGUUAAAGAGAGGAAAAUCCAUUUCUGCACUCUGUCCUCUAUUAACAUCUAUAUGCAAGUGAAAUCUGAUCAGAAUGGACUCACGGCCAGGUCCUAGCAACAGAAACAAGCUUCAACAUUGUUGACAAGGAAGAACCGUUGUUAGAAAUGGAGAAAUGGAGAGGCAUGUUCAUGGGUCAGAGAAUACCAAAGGUAAUAUCUAACCCCUUCAUUUUAAAGGUAUAGAAAUUGAAGUCAACAGAUUAUAUUUGCCAUGAGUCACAAAGAGAGUAAAUAACUGACUCAGGACUUGAAAUCACCUUCCUCCUCUCAAUUCAUAACUGCUUCUACUGCACCACAAUAAAAUAAUUUUGCCCAAUCCCUCAUUUGUAGAUGAGGAAACUGAGCCCCAGAGAGGCCUUAGAACCUAGGCAGCUAGCAAACUGAGUACUAGAUUUGAAGUCCAAAAGAUUCAAGAUCCAAUCCUGGCUGAGACAUUUGGGAGAUAGGUAAACUUGGAUAAGUCACUUAUUCUUUCUCAUUUAUAAAAUGUAAAUAAUAAUGGCACCUGCCUCAUAGGUUGGUUGUGAGGAUCAAAUGAGAUAUUUAUAAAGAACAAUGAAAAUAUUAUUUAUUAGGUAUUAUUAGUACUUCCCUUUAGGCCCUUUCCAACUGUAGAAUUCUGGAAAAAAAAAAAAAAGAA